rnacentral:misc_RNA from 1 species
AAGUCGUAACAAGGUUUCCGUAGGUGAACCUGCGGAAGGAUCAUUAAAAAAUAGGCAUAGCCUAUAUCCACCUUGUGUGCAAACAAUGGAGAGAGAAAAAUGGAACUAAGGGCACUUUUUCUUCGAGAGAGUGUUGCCAACUUCUCUUUUUUUUGAUAAAACACUAUCAAAAUUUAAAUAAAAUCAUUUUUUUAAAAUAAAAUAUUAUACAA